UUCCGGUUGAUCCCGCCGGAGGUCACUGCUAUCGGGGUUCGACUAAGCCAUGCAAGUCAUAUGUUCCUCGUGAACAUGGCAUACUGCUCAGUAACACGUGGAUAACCUGCCCUUGGGUCUGGGAUAACCCCGGGAAACUGGGGAUAAUACCGGAUAACGCAUAUGUGCUGGAAUGCUUUAUGCGUAAAAUGGAUUCGUCCGCCCAAGGAUGGGUCUGCGGCCUAUCAGGUAGUAGUGGGUGUAAUGUACCUACUAGCCAACAACGGGUACGGGUUGUGAGAGCAAGAGCCCGGAGAUGGAUUCUGAGACAUGAAUCCAGGCCCUACGGGGCGCAGCAGGCGCGAAAACUUUACAAUGCGGGAAACCGUGAUAAGGGAACACCGAGUGCCAGCAUCAUAUGCUGGCUGUCCAGAUGUGUAAACUACAUCUGUUAGCAAGGGCCGGGCAAGACCGGUGCCAGCCGCCGCGGUAACACCGGCGGCCCGAGUGGUGACCGUUAUUAUUGGGUCUAAAGGGUCCGUAGCCGGUUUGGUCAGUCCUCCGGGAAAUCUGAUAGCUUAACUGUUAGGCUUUCGGGGGAUACUGCCAGGCUUGGAACCGGGAGAGGUAAGAGGUACUACAGGGGUAGGAGUGAAAUCUUGUAAUCCCUGUGAGACCACCUGUGGCGAAGGCGUCUUACCAGAACGGGUUCGACGGUGAGGGACGAAAGCUGGGGGCACGAACCGGAUUAGAUACCCGGGUAGUCCCAGCCGUAAACUAUGCUCGCUAGGUGUCAGGCAUGGCGCGACCGUGUCUGGUGCCGCAGGGAAGCCGUGAAGCGAGCCACCUGGGAAGUACGGCCGCAAGGCUGAAACUUAAAGGAAUUGGCGGGGGAGCACAACAACGGGUGGAGCCUGCGGUUUAAUUGGACUCAACGCCGGACAACUCACCGGGAACGACAGCAAUAUGUAGGCCAGGCUGAAGACCUUGCCUGAAUCGCUGAGAGGAGGUGCAUGGCC
rnacentral:rRNA from 1 species